rnacentral:rRNA from 1 species
UACGUAGGUGGCAAGCGUUGUCCGGAUUUACUGGGCAUAAAGAGCGCGCAGGCGGUCGUUCAAGUCGAGUGUGAAAGCCCCCGGCUCAACUGGGGAGGGUCAUUCGAUACUGAUCGACUCGAAGGCAGGAGAGGGUAGUGGAAUUCCCGGUGUAGUGGUGAAAUGCGUAGAUAUCGGGAGGAACACCAGUGGCGAAGGCGACUACCUGGCCUGUUCUUGACGCUGAGGCGCGAAAGCUAGGGGAGCAAACGGG